UAGUCAUAUGCUUGUCUCAAAGAUUAAGCCAUGCAUGUCUAAGUAUAAACAUCUUUAUACAGUGAAACUGCGUACAGCUCAUUAUAUCAGUUAUUAUUUAUUUGAUGGUACCUUACUACAUGGAUACCCGUAGUAAUUCUAGAGCUAAUACAUGCGUAAAGUCCCGACUUUUUGGAAGGGAUGUAUUUAUUAGAUUAAAAACCAAUGCAGGCAACUGCUCCUUUGGUGAUUCAUAGUAACUUUAACGGAUCGCACGGCUUCACGUCGGCGACAGUUCAUUCAAAUUUCUGCCCUAUCAGCUUUCGACGGUACUGUAUUGGACUACCGUGGCAUUAACGGGUGACGGAGAAUUAGGGUUCGAUUCCGGAGAGGGAGCCUGAGAAACGGCUACCACAUCCAAGGAAAGGCGCAGGCGCGCAAAUUACCCAAUCCUGACACAGGGAGGUAGUGACAAAAAAAUAACAUACCGGGCCUUUUUAGGUCUGGUAAUUGGGAAUGAGUACAAUU
rnacentral:rRNA from 1 species